UACGUAGGGUGCGAGCGUUGUCCGGAAUUAUUGGGCGUAAAGAGCUCGUAGGCGGUGUGUCGCGUCGGCCGUGAAAACCUGGGGCUCAACUCCGGAUCUGCGGUGGGUACGGGCAGACUAGAGUGAUGUAGGGGAGACUGGAAUUCCUGGUGUAGCGGUGAAAUGCGCAGAUAUCAGGAGGAACACCGAUGGCGAAGGCAGGUCUCUGGGCAUUAACUGACGCUGAGGAGCGAAAGCAUGGGGAGCGAACAGG
rnacentral:rRNA from 1 species